rnacentral:rRNA from 1 species
CUAUACAUGCAAGUCGAACGCUUCUUUUUCCACCGGAGCUUGCUCCACCGGAAAAAGAGGAGUGGCGAACGGGUGAGUAACACGUGGGUAACCUGCCCAUCAGAAGGGGAUAACACUUGGAAACAGGUGCUAAUACCGUAUAACAAUCAAAACCGCAUGGUUUUGAUUUGAAAGGCGCUUUCGGGUGUCGCUGAUGGAUGGACCCGCGGUGCAUUAGCUAGUUGGUGAGGUAACGGCUCACCAAGGCCACGAUGCAUAGCCGACCUGAGAGGGUGAUCGGCCACAUUGGGACUGAGACACGGCCCAAACUCCUACGGGAGGCAGCAGUAGGGAAUCUUCGGCAAUGGACGAAAGUCUGACCGAGCAACGCCGCGUGAGUGAAGAAGGUUUUCGGAUCGUAAAACUCUGUUGUUAGAGAAGAACAAGGAUGAGAGUAACUGUUCAUCCCUUGACGGUAUCUAACCAGAAAGCCACGGCUAACUACGUGCCAGCAGCCGCGGUAAUACGUAGGUGGCAAGCGUUGUCCGGAUUUAUUGGGCGUAAAGCGAGCGCAGGCGGUUUCUUAAGUCUGAUGUGAAAGCCCCCGGCUCAACCGGGGAGGGUCAUUGGAAACUGGGAGACUUGAGUGCAGAAGAGGAGAGUGGAAUUCCAUGUGUAGCGGUGAAAUGCGUAGAUAUAUGGAGGAACACCAGUGGCGAAGGCGGCUCUCUGGUCUGUAACUGACGCUGAGGCUCGAAAGCGUGGGGAGCAAACAGGAUUAGAUACCCUGGUAGUCCACGCCGUAAACGAUGAGUGCUAAGUGUUGGAGGGUUUCCGCCCUUCAGUGCUGCAGCUAACGCAUUAAGCACUCCGCCUGGGGAGUACGACCGCAAGGUUGAAACUCAAAGGAAUUGACGGGGGCCCGCACAAGCGGUGGAGCAUGUGGUUUAAUUCGAAGCAACGCGA